CCUACGGGUGGCAGCAGUGAGGAAUAUUGGUCAAUGGGCGAAAGCCUGAACCAGCCAAGUCGCGUGAAGGAAGACGGCCCUAUGGGUUGUAAACUUCUUUUGUCAGGGAGCAAGUGGGUCCACGCGUGGCCUUAGUGAGAGAACCUGAAGAAAAAGCAUCGGCUAACUCCGUGCCAGCAGCCGCGGUAAUACGGAGGAUGCGAGCUUUAUCCGGAUUUAUUGGGUUUAAAGGGUGCGGAGGCGGAAUAUAAAGUCAGCGGUAAAAACUCGGGGCUCAACCCCGUCGUGCCGUUGAUACUGUUGUUCUUGAGUGGGCGAGAGGUAUGCGGAAUGCGUGGUGUAGCGGUGAAAUGCAUAGAUAUCACGCAGAACUCCGAUUGCGAAGGCAGCAUACCGGCGCCCAACUGACGCUGAAGCACGAAAGCGUGGGUAUCGAACAGGAUUAGAUACCCUUGUAGUC
rnacentral:rRNA from 1 species